rnacentral:lncRNA from 1 species
UUAACUCCUAUUCUUUGUGUGUAAGUUUUUCAAAUAAUGACAGUAACUUAGUUCAUCGGAUUUUUUCUUUUGAGCUCUGGAUCACUUUCGUUUAAUAGAGUUUUGUUUUCCAAAAUCCUAACCCAUAUUCAAGUUUUCUUCACUGUGCUUCUAAAUCAGUUUGUGUCAUGGAUUAAGCCAUAAUCGUAAACAUUCAAUCGAUUAAUUCUGAAUAAAUUUUCUGCAUCUGAAACAAAAUAAUGGGUAAGAAAAUCUCAACAAUGGAGAUUUUUGCUCCGUUGAAGCUUUGCAUGUAUAAAAUUUUAUUUAUUUUAUAUUUUCAUUUAGGAAUUUGAGAUUUUUACCUAAGACUUACGCUUUACGUUUGGAUUCUAUAAGCUCUGUUGUGAAACUUAAAUAUUAUGCUUCAUCAUCUGCAGUAGUUAUCGAUUGAUUGGUGACCCUUGCAUCUAACAUAUUAGUUUUGUCACCUUCGCAUUAUUCCGUUAUGCAUAACUAAUUUUUGUCAAUACUUUUGUAUUGUCAAUGGGAAUAUCUAUCAGCCUCGAGAGAAAGAAGUGAGAGGUGGAGGGUGCUUUUCGACUAUAAAUUGAGUCAUGAAAUGAUGAAUUGUACUCUAUUAAUGGCAUAGAAUAUCAAUAAUUAAGUCGCACGUUUAAUUUAGUGUUCUACAAUUGUCUUGCAAGUAUAUCUGAGCAGUCUCUACGAGUUUUUCUCUAUUUACUUCUAAAGCUUCUAUUCUUCUCAGGUAAUUACUUGAAUUGUUAUCAUUUGCUCUUUGUUCAAUUUCGUCGAUUCAUUUCAUGUAGUUGCUUAGAUUGUUAUCAUUUGUUCUUUGUAUGCUUAUUUUUGCAUGGUACUUUCUGGUGUAAACUUGAAUUAGUCGGGCCUAAAGUGAAUACCAGACACUGAAUAGAAAGUAUAAUUUUCCCACAAUAAAUAGUUCUCCAUUUUCAGUUCACUGGUGUAACGGGCUACCUAGCAAAGAGUACUUUCUCUCUCCCCUUUAGGUUGCAUAAUACUACUUUGUGAAUAAUGUUAGUGUUGCUACUGCUUCUAUUAUAAAUUCUUGUAGUUCUCUCCAGACAAAUGUGAAGAAGCCCUACUUGCUAAUUAGAGCUCCAGAUGCAAAUUCUAUUAAACACCACUUUAACAACGAGGUACUGGCAUACUUCUACAACAACAACAACAAACCCAGUGUAUUCCCACAAAGUGGAGUCUGAGGAGGGUAAAGUGUACGUAGUACAUACCGCUACCUCCAAAGAAGUAGAGAGGCUGUUUUUGAUAGACCUCCGGCUCAAGAUAAGGAAUAAUAAACAAAAGCGUAAUGAAACAUGAAGUAAGAUGGAUGACAUCACAUAAAAAGUACUAAGACAUAAAUAUAAAUCAAAGCAGUAUGAGAUGAGGUAACCAAGUGCAAUGUGCAAUAAGAGAUAAGAAAUAGGGCAUCCGAAAAACGACACCCACCUAAUAGUAACAGACACUCACAGGCCAGAGACACCCUCCACCCCCAAACCCUCCUGACUAGGAGCUCUUACCUAAGGACACAGUCCUAGGAUUAGUAACCUGGCUAUACCAGGGCUCUUCUAACUACUAGCUAUAGCCCACGUGCACAACCUAGCCUUCUACCCUUAUCCGCGACCUCCAUACCUUCCUAUCUAGGGUCAUGUCCUCAGUAAGCUGAAGUUGCUCCAUAUCAUGUCUAAUCACUUUCCUCCAGUACUUCUUCGACCUACCUAUCCUCCUCCUGAAUCCAUCCAACGCUAGCCUCUUACACCUCCGAACUGGGGCAUCCGUGCCCCUCCUCAUCACAUGUCCAAACCAUCUCAGCCUUCCUUCCCGCAUCUUGUCCUCCACCGAAGCCACUCCCACCUUCUCCCAAACUGUCUCAUUCCUAACUCUAUCCCCUCUAGUAAGUCCACACAUCUAACGCAAAAUUCUUAUUUCUGCCACCUUCAUUCUUUGAGUGUGGGAGUUCUUGACUGGCCAACACUCUGCUCCAUAGAGCAUAGCUGGCCGGACUGCCACUCUGUAGAAUUUGCCUUUAAGCUUAACUAGGACCUUCUUAUCACACAACACUCCCGAGGCGAGCCUCCACUUCAUCCAACCCGCUUCCAUACAGUUAGAGACAUCCUCAUCUAUCUCGCCAUUCCCCUGAAUCAAAAACCCAAGAUACUUAAAACUAUCCCUUUUACAAACAUCCUUGGAAUCCAACCUCACCACCACAUCUUCCUCCUGCCUCAAGUCACUAAACUUGUAUUCCAUAUAUUCCAUCUUGGACCUUCUCAACCUGAACCCUUUAGAUUCAAGGGUUUGCCUCCAAACGUCCAAUUUUUCAUUCACCCCCCCUCGCGUCUCAUCAAUCAACACUACAUCGUCCGCAAACAACAUACACCAAGGUACCUCCCCUUGAAUACUUCGCGUCAACACGUCUAACACCAACACAAACAGAAAAGGACUAAGAGUCGAACCCUGAUGCAACCUUGUCUCGACUAAAAAAUGCUCUACAAGUCUUCUAUUAUUUUACCAUUUCAUUUUAGUCUUAUAAAAUGAUAUGAGGGUCAGAUUUAUCUUCGUCUUUAAUGAUGAGCAAUAUUUAAAUAUUCGAGUUAUAUGUUUGAAAAUAGAACCGGCAGUAAUAUCCCUGUGGGCGUAUCACCUUGACAAAAACAAAGAGAAUACCCAUCUCAAAUAUGCGUCGAAAAACAACUUAGACUGUAUGAAUUGUAUGAUCUAGAGUGAAGUCACACAUUUGUUAAAUUUGAUCAACAACAUAAAUGGGGGGAUUGAAAUACAUAAUUUAUUGGCGGAAUGUAUGAAUUAGAGUUUGGUACAAAGGUUAUAGUGUGUGAAUUUAACUACAGUUUGUUUGGUUUAUGUCUGGGUCAUAAUUUGGAUUUGACAGCUAGACGUAUGAGUAGGCGACUCACAGAAGUUGAAGACAGAUCAGACGAAAUUCAACAAAGGCAGUACUGGACUCAACGCGUGAGCUCCUCUAGUAAAGUUGUUCCCAUCAAUUGUGGACACAAGAAAUUGAUCAAAAAGGUAUGUUUUAAUUACCGAUUAAAUUUGUAAUAAUGUAUUACAUGCACAGAAGAGCAGACCUUUAGAUUAGCUUCACUUGAUACAAAAAUGUCCAAGUUUUUUGAUGAAAAAUCUAUUACGAAGAGAAUUUAUGUCCAAGAAGAAAUCUCUGAACAUCGUCAUAGAUAUGCAGAAAACGGCCAAGGUGGUUCGACAAUAGUUUGUAG